rnacentral:rRNA from 1 species
AUUGAACGCUGGCGGCAGGCCUAACACAUGCAAGUCGAACGGAGUGGCGGACGGGUGAGUAAUGUCUGGGAAUCUGCCUGGCAGUUGGGGAUAACGUCCGGAAACGGUCUCUAAUAGCGCAUACUAUCCUUUUAGCCUAUGUGGGAUUAGCUCGGUGGUGGGGUAAAGGCCUACCAAGGCGGCGCUCCGUAACUGGUCUGAGAGGAUGAGCAGUCACACUGGAACUGAGACACGGUCCAGAAUACUACGGGAGGCAGCAGGGGGGAAUAUUGGACAAUGGGCGAAAGCCUGAUCCAGCCAUGCCGCGUGUGUGAAGAAGGUCUUCGGAUUGUAAAGCACUUUAGGUUGGGAGGCGGUACCAACAGAAUAAGCACCGGCUAACUACAUGCCAGCAGCCGCGGUAAUAC